rnacentral:rRNA from 1 species
GAUUAACGCUGGCGGCGUGCCUAACACAUGCAAGUCGAGCGGCAGCGAGUUUUACACUGAAUUCUGGAAGCUUCUAGUUGAAAGAGAAGAUUUAUUCAAGAAUUUUGUGUAAAAUGUCGGCGAGCGGCGGACGGCUGAGUAACGCGUGGGAACGUACCCCAAAGUGAGGGAUAACGCAUCGAAAGGUGUGCUAAUACCGCAUAUGGUCUUCGGAUUAAAGCCUUCGGGCGCUUUGGGAACGGCCUGCGUAAGAUUAGAUAGUUGGUGGGGUAAUGGCCUACCAAGUCGACGAUCUUUAACUGGUUUGAGAGGAUGAUCAGUCAGACUGGAACUGAGACACGGUCCAGACUCCUACGGGAGGCAGCAGUGAGGAAUCUUCCACAAUGGGCGAAAGCCUGAUGGAGCAACGCCGCGUGCAGGAUGAAGGCCUUCGGGUUGUAAACUGCCUUUAUAAGUGAGGAUUAUGACAGUAACUUAUGAAUAAGGAUCGGCCAACUACGUG